GGCCGCCUGGCGUAAUGGCAACGCGUCUGACUACGAAGCGCUGCUCGCAAUCAGGAGAUUGCAGGUUCGACCCCUGCGGUGGUCA